rnacentral:rRNA from 1 species
AGCGAACGCUGGCGGCAGGCCUAAUACAUGCAAGUCGAACGGGUCUUCGGAGCAGUGGCGGACGGGUGAGUAACGCGUGGGAAUGUGCCCUUAGGUACGGAACAACACAGGGAAACUUGUGCUAAUACCGUAUGUGCCCUUCGGGGGAAAGAUUUAUCGCCUUUGGAGCAGCCCGCGUUGGAUUAGCUAGUUGGUGAGGUAAAGGCUCACCAAGGCGACGAUCCAUAGCUGGUCUGAGAGGAUGAUCAGCCACACUGGGACUGAGACACGGCCCAGACUCCUACGGGAGGCAGCAGUAGGGAAUCUUGCGCAAUGGGCGAAAGCCUGACGCAGCCAUGCCGCGUGUAUGAUGAAGGACUUAGGAUUGUAAAAUACUUUCACCGGGGACGAUAAUGACGGUACCCGGAGGAGAAGCCCCGGCUAACUUCGUGCCAGCCGCCGCCGUAACAC